AUGGGGUCCCUCCGCCUGGAGCUUCCGGCGGGGGAGGGAGGGGCUGAGCUGCGUCGUGCGACCACGCCCCACCGGCACCUCCCAGAGCGUCCGGUUCGCAGGCUCCGCCCACUCCCCCAAGCUCCGCCCCCCGACGACCCCGGGGGUCUCCACCCAGUAGGCUCCGCCCACUCGCCCCACCCACCCGGGUCGACCCCGGACGACCUGGGGCUCCUCCCUCCCCAGGAGGUCACCACAGCCCCCAAACCCCACCCCCCCACCGUCCACGUCUACCACGCCUGCGCCGCCGACCCCGAACGCGCCGAAUCCUCGCCGUGGGUGGAGCUCCUGUGCUUGGCCACCUCCUUCGCCCCUCCCCCUCUCCACCUCACCUGGUUGGUCGAUGGCCACGCCCUGGCCACGCCCUCCCCCGAGGUGGAACCGCCCACGCCGGACGUGACGACGCCGGGGACCUUCCGGGUCAGCUCCAGGGUCAACGUCACCUUCCAGGAGUGGAGGGACAGGAGGUUCUCCUGUCGGGUCGCCCACCCGGCCUCCGGCGACCUCCAGGAGGUUGAGGCCCACAAGUGUCUUGGUGGCCCCUCCCCGCCGGGCUCCAUCUCCAUCUUCCUCCUCCCCCCCUCCCCCUCCUCCCUCUACAUCUCCCAAUCCCCCCACCUCCUCUGCCUGGCCGUCAAUCUACCCAGCGACGACGGCCUGGCCGUCACCUGGACCCGCCGGGGCGGGGCCGAUGACGUCACAGGGAAGCCCCCCGAGCCCCUCCCCCUCAAGUUGACCCCCCAGGCCAACGGCACCUUCACGGCUCGCAGCGAGCUGCCCGUCCGCGUCGCCGACUGGGAGGCCGGGGCCGUCUUCGGUUGCGCCGUGGCCCACGCCGAGCUGCCCGCCCCGCUGGCGCGCACCGUGGCCAGGCCACCCGGUCGCCGCCUCCCCCCCAGCAUCUUCCCCCUGCCCCCCCCCCAGGCCGAACUCUCGGGCCCCUCCCCCACCCUGAGCCUCACCUGCCUCAUCCGGGGCUUCUACCCCGAAAAUUUGGAGGUCCAGUGGCAGAGGGGGGGUCAGACCCUCCUCGAGGGGGUCACCACCGGCCCCCCCAUGCCGGAAAACCCCCGAAAUGCCGGGAAUUCCGCCCAAAACGGGGUGGGGGAGGGGCCGUUCUUCCUCUACUCCCGCCUCGAGGUGGCCUGGGGA